UGUUAGUUAGAUUACUUGCUCGUUAUUACUGCAUUGUCGGAACUAGAAGCACAAGCAUUUCGCUACACUCGCAUUAACAUCUGCUAACCAUGUGUAUGUGACAAAUAAAAUUUGAUUUGAUUUGAUUUGAAAUCUGUAAGCUUUGCAGGCCUUCAUUUUACAUGGGUGUUAAAAAAACAACUUUGAAGUCAACAAAUGUUCCAUCCUCGCGAUAACUAUCUUUCACAUGGACACUGAAAAGAUCUGCAAAUGGCUGUAUGUGGAAUGGAUCAAGGACAGGAGAGGUGUUCAGACAGAGGUGCUUAAAAGAAGGUGCACAAGUAGGCCUCAUGAAAAACAAUGCUUCAUAUGCUCUUUUUAAAUCACAGUAAUAGGCAGUGAUUUGUCAGUCACGGUGAGCUUGAUAACGUGUGUUACGGUUACAGGUAUCCUGUGUGUAUUUAUUUUCACUCCUUCUCCCCUCACAGGUGACAAUCAUCAUUCCCCAAUCAGUCACCAAACAGUCAUCAAUCAGAAGACACACCUCCUCCUGUUUCCAUUACCCAAUCACAUUCCUUUUCCCUUGGUUUAAAAACCCUGUCAGUUGUUUUCUCAAUAGUUCAAUCUCUCUGUCAUGCAAUCUCACUCUAGAGUGCUUGUUUUGUGUUUACAACUACAUAUCACUUUGUCACCACCUGUGAGUAUUGUUAUUUUGUUAUACUGUUUGUUUGUUGGUGGGAAAAGGGGGUACCAAGACAAGUCGCCCAUGGGCAUACACUACCCGUAGGUAAACGUUGUCUAAAUACACUAGUUAGAACUGGGCGGACCACCCACUGUGUUUUUGGUUAGUUAGCUGUUAUUCAAGUAGGCUAGUUUAGCUUAGGGGUGUUUUGGAUAUUUGUUUCUUUCCUUGGGUCCAGCUCAGUCCCUUUUCCUGCCCCCCUUUACCGUGUGUUCAUUUGCGGGACUUUGCAAUUCAUCUGAUCACUUCAUAACAUUCUGGAGUAUAUGCAAAUUGCCAUCAUACAAUCGGAGGCAGCAAACUGUGUGAAAAUGUAAUAUUUGUGUCAUUCUCAACUUUUGGCCACGACUGUACAUUUAUUUGCUCUGUGAGGGUUGGAUCCUAUAUGCUACUUUUAUUGUCCUGUUCAGUGCCUAUAAUUCAGGCUGUGUGUAGACUGGGGCAUGAAGGAAAUGACCUCUACUAAUAAAUUACUACUAGAUUAUAGUGAUAAGGAAAACCAUACCAAUGUGGCUUGUGUAUUCAUUUGCCUAUAACUAAUCAAAAUUCCAUUAUUUUUACAUAAAGAGAAUACUUCAAAAUGAGAAGAUCCUGCCAUGGUAAAGACUACUGGGUGGACAAAGUGUAAAGGAGGAGAAAUAACUCCCACCAUGCAGCAGGACACCUUCAGCUGGGGUCUUUAUAAUGCAGGUGUAGAUGGCCAAGGAAGUUGCACGGAACUUUCCUCCCAAAUUGAUAUGGAACCUUCAAAAACACAUUGAGCAACUGCAGAAAAUAAAUGGCUGAGGAUAUACUAAACAUGUCUGGUAAUGCCAUUUAAUUCAGAGUAAAUGUAGAUUCUUUAUUGGUGUGUGGGACAGCCAUAUGUUCAGGUCAUGCCUAUGUUUUCAGAGUUCCACAAAGCCAAGAACUGCUUCAUGUGUGCCACUGAUAAAGAACCUGGAUGUGGCCCAAAGACUGACUGGGAAUGAAGACAAAAGAGUUCAACAGAGUAAAGAACACAAACAGGAAGUGCAGUCUUUGUUGUUGAAAAUGUAUGCAUUACCCCAUCCACACUGAAGAGGCUCUGACAUGUACAUCAACCAGGGAUAAAGAGAAAGUUAACAUGGUGAAUUGUUUCAUACUGAACUUCAAUUAAGUGUCUGACAUGUUGGAAAAGAUUAAAGGUC
ensembl:lncRNA